UACUUAAUAAACAGAAAAAUAUCUUAACUUUCCAGUUUGGACCAUUUUUGAUCACCGAAAGCUCUACCGAACUAAAAUCUCUAGCCGAUAGCACUCAGAUUUUAUUUUCUACUUUCCGGGUGUCAAAAUGACAUGAAACUUUAAAUCUAGCAUCAUAAAAAUAAUUCUGACAUAUUUCCAAGUUUUCAUAAUUUUCUGACACUGCGAAUUUUCUUCUAAGAUAUCAGCCUCGUUUCUCACAGAAAAUUCUAAUUCUUCUGUUUCUACUCCAAUUUCAGCACAAGUCAUUUCCGACUCAUACUUUACUUCUUUAAGUCAAAUAAAAAUAGUAUAUCAUACUAUUUUUAUUUACUUUUACUUUUAUAUUAAAAUUCCGGCACAUCAUAUUCCACCGUAACUUCAUAACCUCAGAAGUUCGGCACUUUACAUCCUCCCCUCCUUAAAAAGAGUUUCGUUCUCGAAACUCAAAUCACAUUUCAACUCGACUUAU
rnacentral:lncRNA from 1 species